UUUGUAAAAAUAAACUCCUCGGGAGGCGGGUAGCUGCUAGCUAAGAAAUCAUCUUCGAGCGAAAACGCUCUCGAUUUCAACGGUUUCGAAAAAAGACAAUAUAAAACAUGGCUGAGAACGAGGACAUCCAGCCUCUUGUCUGUGAUAAUGGAACAGGAAUGGUUAAGGCUGGGUUUGCUGGGGAUGAUGCUCCAAGGGCUGUCUUCCCUAGCAUUGUUGGUCGCCCUCGCCAUACAGGUGUUAUGGUUGGAAUGGGGCAGAAAGAUGCUUAUGUUGGGGAUGAGGCUCAGUCUAAGCGUGGUAUUUUGACUCUCAAAUACCCUAUUGAGCACGGAAUUGUCAGCAACUGGGAUGACAUGGAGAAGAUUUGGCAUCACACUUUCUACAAUGAACUUCGUGUCGCUCCAGAAGAACAUCCAAUUCUUCUAACUGAGGCACCACUCAAUCCCAAAGCUAACCGUGAGAAGAUGACCCAGAUUAUGUUUGAGACCUUCAAUGCACCAGCUAUGUACGUAGCCAUUCAAGCUGUUCUUUCCCUUUAUGCCAGUGGUCGUACAACUGGCAUUGUGCUAGAUUCUGGAGAUGGUGUCAGUCACACAGUCCCCAUCUACGAGGGAUAUGCACUUCCGCAUGCUAUCCUACGUAUUGAUCUUGCUGGCCGUGACCUGACUGACGCCCUCAUGAAAAUUUUGACGGAGCGUGGUUAUUCAUUCACCACUUCAGCUGAGCGUGAAAUUGUGAGGGAUAUGAAGGAAAAGUUGGCAUACAUUGCCCUUGACUUUGAGCAAGAAUUAGAAACCUCUAAGACGAGCUCUUCAGUUGAGAAGAGUUAUGAAUUGCCAGAUGGUCAGGUGAUUACCAUCGGCGCUGAGCGUUUCCGAUGCCCGGAAGUCCUUUUCCAGCCAUCCAUGAUCGGAAUGGAAGCUGCUGGUAUUCAUGAGACAACAUACAAUUCCAUCAUGAAAUGUGAUGUUGACAUCAGGAAAGAUUUGUAUGGAAACAUUGUGCUCAGUGGUGGUUCAACCAUGUUCCCUGGAAUUGCUGAUAGAAUGAGCAAGGAGAUCACUGCCUUGGCCCCGAGCAGCAUGAAGAUUAAGGUGGUUGCGCCGCCUGAAAGGAAGUACAGUGUGUGGAUUGGAGGUUCCAUCUUGGCGUCCUUGAGCACUUUCCAGCAGAUGUGGAUCGCUAAGGCUGAGUAUGAUGAGUCUGGCCCCUCAAUUGUCCACAGGAAAUGCUUCUAAUCAUGAGCAAACACGUGUCAAGAUCGGGGCUAAAAAAAUACGGAGCUGAUGGCAGCGGAGGUGGAAUCAUCGCCUGCCAUAUGUUUCCCGCGUAAACGGCAGCGCGCAUGUCCAUUAUCCCAAAUUUCAAUUCGGUCUUCAUUCUUGAGCCGAACCUGAACCCUAGCUUAGCGAUGACUUCAAAUUCAGAUUCUUAGUAUUAUCCAUUUUGUUGCCCUGAUUCAGAAAGAUGUAGAUUGUUCAUCUCGCCAAGAAUCUGAAUCGCCGUAGCCGCCAUCAAGAGUUUGUGGGUGGUUCCUAUCUCCAUUCUCGUUUACCGCAUUGUUUCCGAUCCGAACAUGGACGAGAUAUUUCAUGUACCUUAAGCUCAGAAAUGCUGCAGUGGGAACUUCCGAAGUUGGGACCCGAAGACUUCAAAUCCUCCUGGACUGUAGCAUCGCUAGGACUUUUGGCAGAACUUCGUGGUAAUGAUAAUACAUGGAACCUAAAUCUUCUGAAGGUUGAAGAAGAAGAAUCAAUGAAAUAAAUGGCAGAAUUAUUUCGCCCAUCUACUGUUGUUAUCUUUGAUUUCUAUUGGCUAGU